ACAGUCAGCUCCUCUAAAAUAAAUCAGCUUGCCAGUGUUUGGUGGGUAUCGCAGGUGUGAUAACUAUCUACGCUUGUGGUUUUCCACCAGGUAACCUUCAGCAGUGGAGGUUCACUGGAGCUCACAGAUGUCUCUCCUCAGUGAGGACAGCCCUUUUAAUGUUUGAUCUCAAAUCAGGUAGGACUACCCGCUGAACUUAA
rnacentral:misc_RNA from 1 species